CCUACGGGAGGCUGCAGUCGAGAAUCAUUCACAAUGGGGGAAACCCUGAUGGUGCGACGCCGCGUGGGGGAAUGAAGGUCUUCGGAUUGUAAACCCCUGUCAUGUGGGAGCAAAUUAAAAAGAUAGUACCACAAGAGGAAGAGACGGCUAACUCUGUGCCAGCAGCCGCGGUAAUACAGAGGUCUCAAGCGGUGUUCGGAAUCACUGGGCGUAAAGGGUGCGUAGGCUGUUUCGUAAGUCGUGUGUGAAAGGCGCGGGCUCAACCCGCGGACGGCACAUGAUCCUGCGAGACUAGAGUAAUGGAGGGGGAACCGGAAUUCUCGGUGUAGCAGUGAAAUGCGUAGAUAUCGAGAGGAACACUCGUGGCGAAGGCGGGUUCCUGGACAUUAACUGAUGCUGAGGCACGAAGGCCAGGGGAGCGAAAGGGAUUAGAUACCCUUGUAGUC
rnacentral:rRNA from 1 species